rnacentral:rRNA from 1 species
GAUCAUGGCUCAGGAUGAACGCUAGCGAUAGGCUUAAUACAUGCAAGUCGAGGGGCAGCAUGAACAAAGCUUGCUUUGUUUGAUGGCGACCGGCGCACGGGUGCGUAACGCGUGAGCAACUUGCCCGUUUCUGGGGAAUAACCGGUGGAAACGCCGACUAAUACCCCCAUGGCAUCAGAUUGAGGCAUCUUAAUCUGAUUAAAGAAUUUCGGAAACGGAUAGGCUCGCGUGACAUUAGCUAGAUGGAGGGGUAACGGCCCACCAAGGCGACGAUGCGUAGGGGUUCUGAGAGGAAGGUCCCCCACACUGGUACUGAGACACGGACCAGACUCCUACGGGAGGCAGCAGUGAGGAAUAUUGGUCAAUGGGCGGGAGCCUGAACCAGCCAAGUCGCGUGAGGGAAGACGGCCCUACGGGUUGUAAACCUCUUUAGUCGGGGAGCAAAAAGGACCACGCGUGGUCCAUUGAGCGUACCCGAAGAAUAAGCAUCGGCUAACUCCGUG